rnacentral:rRNA from 1 species
CUACGGGACGCUGCAGUGGGGAAUAUUGGGCAAUGGGCGAAAGCCUGACCCAGCAACGCCGCGUGAUUGAAGAAGGUCUUCGGAUUGUAAAAAUCUGUCCUUGGGGACGAAAAAAAUGACGGUACCCAAGGAGGAAGCCCCGGCUAACUACGUGCCAGCAGCCGCGGUAAUACGUAGGGGGCGAGCGUUGUCCGGAAUUACUGGGCGUAAAGGGUGCGCAGGCGGGGCUUUAAGUCAGAUGUGAAAUACCCAGGCUUAACCUGGGGGGUGCAUUUGAAACUGGAGUGCUUGAGUGCAGGAGAGGAAAGUGGAAUUGCUAGUGUAGCGGUGAAAUGCGUAGAUAUUAGGAGGAACACCAGUGGCGAAGGCGACUUUCUGGACUGUAACUGACGCUGAGGCACGAAAGCGUGGGGAGCAAACAGGAUUAGAUACCCGAGUAGUC